rnacentral:rRNA from 1 species
UACAGAGGGGGCAAGCGUUAUUCGGAAUUAUUGGGCGUAAAGGGCGCGUAGGCGGCUUGGCAAGUGGAUGGUGAAAUCCCUCGGCUUAACCGAGGAACUGCCGUCCAAACUGCUUCGCUUGAGACCGGGAGAGGUGAGUGGAAUUCCCAGUGUAGCGGUGAAAUGCGUAGAUAUUGGGAGGAACACCUGUGGCGAAAGCGGCUCUCUGGACCACAACUGACGCUGAGGCGCGAAAGCUAGGGGAGCAAACAGG